ensembl:lncRNA
UAAACAUGGACCCAGCCAGAAAUGGAGAAGUGGCUGAAAGAGGAAGAAGAGUGGCUGGGAGGGGGCGAGGAAUACGUAUGCAUGGUGGAAGAAGAAGAAGAGGAAGAUCAAGAGCUGUAGUCGCAGAUGAGAUCAGAGCUACUGUAAUUGAUCAUGUAGUAAAUCAUGGUCACUCAAUGAGAGAGGCUGGUCAGAGAGUGCAGCCAAAUCUGCAACGCUCUACAGUGGCAUCUAUUGUUAGAGUUUUCCGGCAAACCAACAGGACUCAACGGUUACCUCACACGGGAGGGAGAGGACAGAUGUUCACUGAUGUGCAGGAAACUGCCAUUGCUGAUAUGGUCAUCAGAAACAAUGGGAUAAAACUCACUGAAAUUAGACACAGAGUCUUGGCAGACAACAUUACUUUCGCAAAUAUUCACAGUGUAAGCAUAACAACAAUUUCUAGAGUCCUGAAAAACCAUCAGGUCAGGAUGAAACAGUUGUACACUGUGCCUUUUGAGAGGAACUCUGAACAUGUCAAGCAACUCAGGAACCAGUAUGUCCAGAGAGUCAUGGAGAUUGAAGGCAGGCAAACACACCACAUUUUCAUCUUUGUCGAUGAGGCAGGUUUCAACUUGGCCAAAGCACGGCGACGAGGGAGGAAUGUGAUUGGGAAGAGAGCCACAGUGAAUGUCCCGGGCCAGAGGGGUGCCAACAUCACAAUGUGCGCAGCAAUAUCCACUGAUGGACUGCUGUUACACAGGCCACUAAUUGGGCCAUACAACACUGAACGGCUCCUUGCGUUCCUGCAUGAUCUCUAUGGAAGGGUUGUGCUAGGUGAGGAAAGGGAUGCGGAGAGAAGGAAUCAGCCAACAUUUAUAAUUGUAUGGGACAAUGUGGCAUUUUAUCACUCCCGUGCAGUCACCGAGUGGUUUGCAGCCCAUCCCAGAAUGGAGUCUCUUUUCCUCCCACCUUACUCUCCAUUCCUCAACCCCAUAGAGGAAUUCUUUUCCUCAUGGCGGUGGAAGGUUUACGACCAUCAUCCACAUGAUCAAAUGUCCCUCCUGGAUGCAAUGAAUGCUGGAUGCCUGGAGAUAUCAGCAGAAGAUUACCAGGGAUGGAUCAGGCAUGCCAGAAGAUUCUUUCCUAGGUGUAUUGCCCUAGAUGACAUAAGAUGUGAUGUGGAUGAGAACCUGUGGCCAAAUGGAGAAGACCGAGUAGAUUAGCAUUACUAUCAGUGGAUGGUGUGUAUACAAAUUCUUGUAUUUUGGGAUUACUUAGUGCAAAAAAAUAAAAAUACAUAAACAAAUAUUAACGAA